GGGGGCCCGGCACAAGCGGUGGAGUAUGUGGUUUAAUUUCGAUGCAACGCGAAGAACCUUACCUGGUCUUGACAUCCCGGAGACCCUUAGGAAACUAGGGGUGCUUCCACUGAAGAAUCUGGAGCGGGUGCUGCAUGGCUGUCGUCAGCUCGUGUCGUGAGAUGUUGGGUUAAGUCCCGCAACGAGCGCAACCCUUGCCUUUAGUUGCCAGCAGUUCGGCUGGGCACUCUAAAGGGACUGCCGGUGUUAAACCGGAGGAAGGUGGGGAUGACGUCAAGUCCUCAUGGCCUUUAUGACCAGGGCUACACACGUACUACAAUGGCCGAUACAAAGGGCAGCGACACUGCGAGGUGAAGCCAAUCCCGUAAAAUCGGUCUCAGUCCGGAUUGGAGUCUGCAACUCGACUCCAUGAAGUUGGAAUCGCUAGUAAUCGUGGAUCAGCAUGCCACGGUGAAUACGUUCCCGGGCCUU
rnacentral:rRNA from 1 species